rnacentral:rRNA from 1 species
UACGGGGGGGGUAAGCGUUGUUCGGAAUUACUGGGCGUAAAGGGCUCGUAGGCGGCCAACUAAGUCAGACGUGAAAUCCCUCAGCUUAACUGGGGAACUGCGUCCGAUACUGGAUGGCUCGAGUUUGGGAGAGGGAUGCGGAAUUCCAGGUGUAGCGGUGAAAUGCGUAGAUAUCUGGAGGAACACCGGUGGCGAAGGCGGCAUCCUGGACCAACACUGACACUGAGGAGCGAAAGCCAGGGGAGCAAACGGG